UCCGAAGGUGAACCUGCGGAGGGAUCAUUA
rnacentral:rRNA from 3 species